rnacentral:rRNA from 1 species
AGGACGAACGCUGGCGGCGUGCCUAAUACAUGCAAGUCGAACGGUCUUUCUAUGGAAGCUUGCUUCCACUGAAAAGAUAGUGGCGAACGGGUGAGUAACACGUGGGUAACCUGCCCAUAAGAGGGGGAUAACAUCCGGAAACGGGUGCUAAUACCGCAUAGUUUUCUUGAUCGCAUGAUCGGGAAAGGAAAGACGGCCUUUGUGCUGUCGCUUAUGGAUGGACCCGCGGCGUAUUAGUUAGUUGGUGAGGUAACGGCUCACCAAGACGAUGAUACGUAGCCGACCUGAGAGGGUGAUCGGCCACAUUGGGACUGAGACACGGCCCAAACUCCUACGGGAGGCAGCAGUAGGGAAUCUUCCGCAAUGGACGAAAGUCUGACGGAGCAACGCCGCGUGAGUGAAAGAAGGUUUUCGGAUCGUAAAACUCUGUUGUCAGAGAAGAACAAGUUGGAGAGUAACUGCUCCAGCCUUGACGGUAUCUGACCAGAAGGCCACGGCUAACUACGUGCCAGCCGCGGC